rnacentral:rRNA from 1 species
UCGGACUGUAGUCUGCAACCCGACUACACGAGCUGGAAUCGCUAGUAAUCGCGGAUCAGAAUGCCGCGGUGAAUACGUUCCCGGGUCUUGUACACACCGCCCGUCACACCAUGGGAGUCAGUAACGCCCGAAGUCAGUGACCUAACUGCAAAGAAGGAGCUGCCGAAGGCGGGACCGAUGACUGGGGUGAAGUCGUAACAAGGUAGCCGUAUCGGAAGGUGCGGCUGGAUCACCUCCUUUCUAAGGAA